UCAUCAUGCAUUUCUCAAACUAACUGUGGUGGUGGUGGCAGUAAUAGCAGCAAGAAUGAUUUUCUACGAAAGUGGGAGAAAGAUGAGUAUGAACAACUGGCUCAAAAACGACUCAAUGAGGAGAGGGACAAAAAACAUGGUAAUUGAGUCCAAGCUGGGGAAUACCAUUGUUAUCACCAAGACCACACCACAGGUUGAGAUGGGGGGGUACUACUGCAAUGUGUGUGAUUGUGUCGUGAAGGAUUCCAUCAACAUCUUGGACCCCGUCAAUGGCAAGAAACGAGGAGAAAGAGAAAGAAAGAGAAGCAGAAAGAAAAGAAGCAGAAAGCAGAGGAGGAUCUCUUCCAGGAGAACGAUGAAAUGGCUGAUAUGAUAGGAUU